AAAAUUUUAGUUUAUGUAAAAAUAAUUUAUUUACAAUAAAUAGAAUAAUAAUGAUAGUUAUUAAAAUUUUA
rnacentral:tRNA from 2 species